GGAAAGUGAAGCUCAGGAAGGACUAGGAGCUGCCCCAAGACCACACAGCUAGUAACCAAGAGAGUCGAGAGAACGGCAGAGAGUGGAGCCCAAGAUCUCCAUCCCUAAAGCCCACAUUUCUGCUGCUGAUCGGACUGUGACCAUCCUCGAGGGCUGCCGUUCAGCGUUCCCCUGCAUCACGUCACUGGCCCAUCACCUGUGACUGCGUAGGGCUACCCAAGUGACCGCAGAGUAUUUUCUCAGGUCGCUGUGCUCUAGCAGAAGGGACUCUUCACCAAAGGGAAGCAAGUGCCGUUGUUAAAAACAAAACCAAAACCCGGAACAUCAGCUGGAUGAUUCAGUGAAGUACACAGCUGAGAUCAAAUUAGAACUGAUCUUUGGGUCUCAAAGCUUCAAAGGGACAAAAUCUCACAAGAGAAGAGUAAGUUUAUCAA
rnacentral:lncRNA from 1 species